rnacentral:lncRNA from 7 species
AUCCAAACUUGUUGCUGAUUUCAGUGGCAGUGUGAGCUGUUUAAGGGAGGGUUUCCUGCUUCCAAGGUGUUAUCAUUGCUCUUCAUAGCGUGGUUUGAGAUGAUAAAACUGCAUUCAUUCUGCUUUGCCUUCUUCAGCUGUCAACGCCCUGACACUGAUUCAGCUCUUCAUCUUUCAUAUCCCGGGACAGAGAAUAAACAAUACGUAGCCAGCUUCAGUGCAAGCAUUGAAAAACUGGAAAAUGAGGACUUUCUGAAAAAUAAAACCUUCGUGAACUGGUUGAUCUAGCUACUUGAUUUUGAAACUUUUUUGUUUUCUUUUGUUCAACACCCUCAUGCAGGGGAGGAAAAAAAAACAACAAAAAUGAAAGGAAAGCCAUUAAUGCUCUGUUUGGUAGUUUAUUCUGAUAUGUAUUUUAUUGUGACUUUUUCUAAUGUGCCAUACGUUGCCUGAUACACUGGAGUUUAAGCCUUCAUAGCAACUGACUUCUUUUGUGCUUCUCAGUUCUCCAGUCUGGGUUCUGAAAGAGGCAACAACAGAAGAGUUCCCUCCUCUGGGAAGAGGUCUCCCAGGGCAGUUCCCGGCCGAGCAGUGCCAUCUGCCGAAAGUGGAAAGCACAGCCCGGGAGCUGCGGGUCUGGAAGCGCUGCUCCUCCAGCGCUGCUAAAUGCUCUUUGUUUUGAGUUUACUUGAGGUUUGGGAUUCGAACUCUUCUGGUGCAGUUCCUAAGAACAGCAGUACUGCUGAGACAAGAAGUUUCUUUCUGUUGCUGGUAGUGAAAUCUGCUCUCAAAGAGCCUCUAGGCUGUUGGGAAACUGUCACCUGCUCUGUUCUUUGUCUCAUACUGACAAAGCAGCCUUGUUUUAGUUGAGAUGUAUAAUUUGCUCUUUCCAAUCAAGUGUGCUUAAAUAUUGAAUUCAGAAAAUGGAGUCUUUCUGCUUCGUUAAAGGAUUAAUAAGGCACUGAGCUCUGAAUGGACUGGUGGGAAAAACACCCUCAGGAUUCACUGAGGAGAAGGAAAUAAAACAGCAACUUUCCAGUAAGACAAGGCAUCAGAUGAGCUGUGCACUCCAAACUCUCUGGAGCAUGUUGGGUGAUUUUGUUCUCUACAGUAUAAUUUUCAUAUUGUAUUCUCAAGUCACAAAAGCUGUAAGUGUUUCUGUGUGGCCAGCAAAGCUAACCUUUCAAUUUAUGGUAUGAUGCUCCUUUAUCUUUGACGGG